UACGUAGGUCCCGAGCGUUGUCCGGAUUUAUUGGGCGUAAAGCGAGCGCAGGUGGUUUAUUAAGUCUGGUGUAAAAGGCAGUGGCUCAACCAUUGUAUGCAUUGGAAACUGGUAGACUUGAGUGCAGGAGAGGAGAGUGGAAUUCCAUGUGUAGCGGUGAAAUGCGUAGAUAUAUGGAGGAACACCGGUGGCGAAAGCAGCUCUCUGGCCUGCAACUGACACUGAGGCUCGAAAGCGUGGGGAGCAAACAGG
rnacentral:rRNA from 1 species